UCCGCGAUAGCUCAGUUGGUAGAGCAAAUGACUGUUAAUCAUUGGGUCCCUGGUUCUAGUCCAGGUCGUGGAGCCA
rnacentral:tRNA from 1 species